rnacentral:lncRNA from 1 species
UGUCCUUUUUUUCCCUGCCUUCUCCAUUUGCUCUUUACACCCUAACUACUUGUCUGCUUCACUGUGAAGCCAUCUGCUGCCACUCAAAGGGUAACAGGGUAACAAAACCUUUCUUGUCUCCCCCAGAGCCUAAUGCUUAUAUUUGAGAGUAGAGAUCUUUUCCUGCACCUGCCAAAAAGGCAUGCUCUUGUGCUCUCUCUCUCUUUCUGGAGAAGAGGAGGAAUGAACGUGACAGCUCCUAUAUAAUAUCCCGUUUUCAUAAUUUCAGGGGUCCUCUACUGUAACACAGAUCUCCUGGAUGUGCAAGUGACAUUCUCCAUCUUCUUUUCACCUGGUGUGUGAAUAAUGGGGUGUGAAGAAAGAAAGCAAAAUAUUCUCAUGUCUGUCCUUAACAUCAUAGGAACCUGAUCUUUCUACUGGAAGCCUGGUAAGAAAAAUCCACAUCGUGACACGGAAGAGAUGGAGGAAGAAGAGAAAACAAAAGGUCAGAGAUGUAGCCCUACAUAGCUGAUUUUAAAAGGAACUUAAAAUUUUACUUUGGCUAAAAUUGACCUCUCCUGUAAUUUAAUCCAAACCUCUAUUGCUUGUGUGUGGCCAAGUUCAGUAGUCUUUGGAGUCUCACUUCUCUAAUUAUCCAAAUGCAUUUGUUGAAGCCCCAUCCCCUGCCUCCUCCAAAUCCCUUAAUAGGUUUGAUUCUGCUCACUGCUCAUUGCUAUUUUCAUGGUGCCGCUGAAUUCCGCUCUCCUUCUCUGUUUCUAGCCUUUUCAACAUUGCUUUCUCCUCUCAUCCCUGGCAUGAAACACAGAUGCUGGUUAUUCAAUCUCUAAAGCACUGUUCUUUUAAGAAUAAACUUUUACUGAAGAAUGGGGGAUAAAAGAUGGAGCGUAAGCUCAGAACAGCACAGGGAGAAAAUGUACAAGUAAAACUAAGUUAUUUAGUUUAGAGCUUCUUGGUCAGACCCUCCUUAGUCCUGCUUGCCAAUUUGUGCUAGAUUAUUUUUUUCCUGGUGACUGUUUCCCGCACCUCUCCUCCCCAUUCAGGGACCCCAAAGCAUGUUCUUCAGUGACCAGGAAAAUAUUUUAUAUUCUUAAUACUUCAUUAUGGAGAAAAAUUUAUUUCAUUUUGUAUAACCACUGUGUGUUAGUUUCCCAUGGCUUCCUUAACAACUUACUACAAACUGGGUGGCUUAAAGCAACAGAAAUUUAUUUUUCUCAGUUUUGGAGGCCAGAAAUCUGAAAUCAAGGUGUCAGGAAGACCAUGCUCUUUUCAGAGGCUCUAGAGAAGAUUCAUUUUUCUGCCUCCCUCCAGCUUCUUGUGGCUCCAGGCGUUCUUUGAUUCUCCUUGGCUUGUGGCUGCAUCACUGAUUUCCGCUUCCGUGUUCAUGUGGCUCUUCUUCCGCGUGUCUUCUCCUUUCUCUUACAAGGACACUUCGUUGCAUUCAGGGCCCACUCAGGUAAUUCAGGAUGAUCUCAUGCCAAGACCCCUAAUCUAAUUACAUCUACAAAGAUCCCUUAUCCAAGUAAGGUCACCUUCACGGGUUCUGGGAAUUAGGAUUUAGGCAUAUCUUUUGGGGAGCCAUCAUUCAAUGCACGACAUAAUCUAAACAGACUCCAGUUUUCUCAGCUUUAACAGAGACAAUCAAUCAAAUAAGUUUUUGAUUUAAUUUAAAAAUAAAAACAGUAUUUCUGUCUCUCAGAAUAAUUCUGCAGCCCAGUUCUUAGAGCAAAUUACAGUUAGAUUUAAAAGAAUGCUUUUCUUCUCAUUUUAAAGAUUUCUCUUUAAAAAUUGUUAAAAUGACCUAACAUUUUAAAAGACGGAAAAGUAAUUGUAAUAUCAAAAACUUAACACAACUACAUAUUUAUACAAAUGCCUUUAUAAUCUUUGUGUAUAUGUGUGUAUAUAUACAUGUGAAUGUAUAAAUACAUACUUGUAAUCAUGAUGUACUUAACAACUGCAGAUUGUGUUUAAUCUUAGCAUAUUAAAUAAGUUUUUUCAAUGUUUUAACGUAUGUUUUA